rnacentral:misc_RNA from 1 species
GAUAAAUCUACAUUUUAAGGUCUAAAUAUCUUGCAAUGGGUUGCUUGGAAAACAUUCAGGCAGUCAUCAAUACCUGGCCUGACUCAGAACAUCAGGCAGCUAUAAAGGCUGGGGUACUUGCAGCUUAUGGAGUGCUCAAAGCAGAAACUGAGGAGCUAACUCUCGGAGAGAAGUUUUUAACCAAAUGUUUGGAGCUUUGUGAUGUUGUGAAGGAGGACCGAUACAUAAUCUUGCAGAGAAUUCAAGCAUUAAUUUAUCUAGGUGUGAUCUGGUGUGGAAGAGAAAACUUUCCUCUUGCAAGGGAAUAUCUGGAGAAAUCCUUGAAGGUGUUUUCUCAGUUUCAAGAAGAGAACAGUCAAGACAUAUUCAGACUCAGUGAUCUGUUGAAUUAUUCUGAAUAUAAGCCUGAUAAUCAAGGAAAAUCUCUAGACUCACUUAUCACCCAUGCUUACUAUUACUUAGCCCAGGUUGAAGGAAAAGCCGGGAACAGCAUAAGAUCAGCCGAGCUGUGUCACACUACCCUUAGUCGUCAACUUGACCGGCCUUCCUUUGACUGGAUGGACUGGACAAGAAACUGCGCAACUCUUUCCCAGUUUUACUUAAACCAGGAGAAUUUUACUGCUGCGCGCUAUCAUCUUGCCGCGUCGCUUGUUAUGAUGGACAGAUACAAGGAAGACGAUCUCGUGGUUCAAGAUCUGGAGGAGGAGAAGGGAUCUAAGACUGAGAUGGAGAAGGAGGUGAAGGAGAAGGAUGAAGAGGAUAAAAACCUGGAAGAAGAGAAUGAAAAUAAAGAAUCAAGAAGAGCCACGGAGGGGAUUGUGAGCAGAUUUUGUGCAAAAUAUGGUUUAACUUUACUGGAAUAUUCGCACUGUGCAAAUCUCUCAGGGGAACCUCUUCAAGAUGAAGUUGGAUCAAGAGAUAAGUGCCCUGUGUUUUCUAAUCUAGAUGUAUCAUCAAGACUGGCCGAGGUUACUGAUAAAAGAAUUGAUGACUACGAGACUGGACGAAUUAUAUUCCUGUGGGGACAGCAUCAUGUGACGAAUGCCCAGCUAUAUUACACUAAAGACGAACGAUGUUCAGACUACGUAGAACUAACAAGGGACCUAAGUCAGAUGUACAAACACCUGAUCUACUUUGAAUCCGACAUAGACCGUAAAUGCAAGAUGCACAGAAGAAGAGCAGAUCUGUUAGAGCCCUUGAACAGGGAGCUGUCCCCUGUACAUUAUCUUCUUACAAUCCGGCAGAUACUUUUCGAGUUGGGUGAGAUUUUCAGUGACAUGGUUGACCUGAAGCGAGAUAGAUGGGUCAAACAGCCCUCUAAUAAACAUUUUGCAAGCAAAGUCAAUACUCUAGUCAACCAAGCUAUUCUUUACUUCCAGACAUUUCUGGACACCAUGAAGAUCGAAGGUGCUGAUCCUGUGAAGUAUGUUGAUGAUAACACUAGACCAGCUCUACUAGCUAACUUCUACUUGGGCAGGUUAGCCAGCAAAUAUAUAGUAGAAGAGGGUAGUAACAAGCAACUACAGAAUAUAAACAAUACCUACACCAGUUACAAGAAGAUAGUUGAUUACUGUGUUCAGAAUCCUGAAGCUGUGGAAAAGUUUGGAGAAGAAUUGGAGGCCUGUAAGGAGAUGGUGAGACUCCUUCCUGUAAAAAUGGAGAAAAUACGACGGGGUCUUAUUGUUUGAAGAUGACCUAAAAACUUUUUUAUGUAGAAAUUAUUUAAUUGUCACUUACACAAUUUUGUUCACGGUUUCAAGCAUUUUUUUAAUUAAUGCAUUUCACAAUCACCGGUGUUUUCCCUUGCUUUAAAGGGACUACGACUCAAAGUCAAAUUCAAAAUGAAAAACGAGUGUUCGAUUAAUUCUUUGUAAUCAAUUUGAUCUAUUUUUGUAAAAUAAUCUAGUUUAACUUUAGAUGUGCGAAAACUUUUUAAUAGUUCUCUUCUUUACGACUGCUUUUGGUGUUUACGAUAAAACUCUUUAUUUCUAUUUUGUUUCUUAUAUCUUUAUUUUUAUUUACAGCAAUACUGUCCAAAUCAAGUGGAAAAUAUAAAAUUUUUAUAUUUCAGUGAAUGAGUGAAUCUUUAUUGAAAGAAUGGAAAACUUGAUUGUAAUUUAAUAUUUUUCACAUUUCUUUUUAAUCUUUUAAAACUUUUUUCUCCUGAGUGUUUUAUUUUUAUCUUCUCAAGAUUUGAAUGGUUUUUUUUCAGAGAAAAAAAAUUGGAUUUUUGCACGGCCGUGCUAUUUCAUUACUCGUUUUAAAAUUUUGAGGAAAAGGGGGAGGGGUCAGAAUAAAAAUCCAAAAAUAAAUAGUUUUUCUAGAGAAGUAAAUUAGUUCUCUCAUUUAAAAAAAAUUGUUUUCUUUAAAAUCCGGCUUGGUUCAAGAAAGGUUUUGAAGGGGGGUGGAUUAAAGGACAACUUUCUGACAAACGAUUGGUAGUCUAAGAGAUGUGUUCACUGUUCAUGGUAGUCUUUUUUUUAUGUGAUGCAUUACAUGUAAAAUUUUCCUCUUUCCCCCCCUUAUUUCCCAGCCAGGAUAGGGUUCAAGGGACUGCAGACUUUGUAUUUGAAAUUACUGUUAUCUCUAUGAAGAACUAGUUUUUUCUUGCAAAAACAAGUUUCUCUUUUUCUUUAUCGGAAGGAUUGGAAAUUCCAGAUCUAUAGAAAUACCUUUCAGUAUUUUCACAUUUUUCUGUUUAUUUGCUCUCAAUGUUCUCAUGGUAUUGCUUUUAUGAUCUCAUCUGUAUGUUUCAGAA